rnacentral:ncRNA from 2 species
ACCUCAUCCAGAGGGGCUGAGGGAUACGGCCCGAUGACGCCCCGGCAACCACCCGCGCGCUCGAUGACGAGCGACCGCGGGCAGGUGCCAAUUCCGUCCCCGCCGCACCCGGCGAUGCGGGGAAAGAUGAGAG